UUUAAGUGCAGUCAUGAGUUUCCGUGUCCAAUUAUUAGUCUUGUUUUAAAAAAAUUCAAAUAAGACGGAUGAUUAAAGUUGGACACGGAAACUCAUGGCUGCGCUUAUA
rfam:Oryza punctata chromosome 5, whole genome shotgun sequence.